rnacentral:rRNA from 1 species
GCAUAAGCCCACGACCCGGCAUCGGGUAGAGGGAAAAGGAGCAAUCCGCUUUGAGAUGGCCUCGCGUCCGAUUAGCUAGUUGGUGAGGUAACGGCCCACCAAGGCGACGAUCGGUAGCCGGACUGAGAGGUUGAACGGCCACAUUGGGACUGAGACACGGCCCAGACUCCUACGGGAGGCAGCAGUGGGGAAUAUUGCACAAUGGGGGAAACCCUGAUGCAGCGACGCCGCGUGGAGGAAGAAGGUCUUCGGAUUGUAAACUCCUGUUGUUGAGGAAGAUAAUGACGGUACUCAACAAGGAAGUGACGGCUAACUACGUGCCAGCAGCCGCGGUAAAACGUAGGUCACAAGCGUUGUCCGGAAUUACUGGGUGUAAAGGGAGCGCAGGCGGGAAGACAAGUUGGAAGUGAAAUCCAUGGGCUCAACCCAUGAACUGCUUUCAAAACUGUUUUUCUUGAGUAGUGCAGAGGUAGGCGGAAUUCCCGGUGUAGCGGUGGAAUGCGUAGAUAUCGGGAGGAACACCAGUGGCGAAGGCGGCCUACUGGGCACCAACUGACGCUGAGGCUCGAAAGUGUGGGUAGCAAACAGGAUUAGAUACCCUGGUAGUCCACACUGUAAACGAUGAUUACUAGGUGUUGGAGGAUUGACCCCUUCAGUGCCGCAGUUAACACAAUAAGUAAUCCACCUGGGGAGUA